rnacentral:SRP_RNA from 1 species
GCCGGGCAUGGUGGCGCAUGCCUGUAAUCCUAGCUACUCGGGAGGCUGAGGCACAAGAAUUGCUUGAACCCAGGAGAUGGAGGCUGUAGUGAGCCAAGACUGCGCCACUGCACUCCAGCCUGGGCUACAGAGCGAGACUCUGUUUCAA